GAUGAACGCUGGCGGCGUGCCUAAUACAUGCAAGUCGAGCGAACGGACGAGAAGCUUGCUUCUCUGAUGUUAGCGGCGGACGGGCGAGUAACACGUGGAUAACCUACCUAUAAGACUGGGAUAACUUCGGGAAACCGGAGCUAAUACCGGAUAAUAUUUUGAACCGCACGGUUCAAAAGUGAAAGACGGUCUUGCUGUCACUUAUAGAUGGAUCCGCGCUGCAUUAGCUAGUUGGUAAGGUAACGGCUUACCAAGGCAACGAUGCAUAGCCGACCUGAGAGGGUGAUCGGCCACACUGGAACUGAGACACGGUCCAGACCCCUACGGGAGGCAGCAGUAGGGAAUCUUCCGCAAUGGGCGAAAGCCUGACGGAGCAACGCCGCGUGAGUGAUGAAGGUCUUCGGAUCGUAAAACUCUGUUAUUAGGGAAGAACAUAUGUGUAAGUAACUGUGCACAUCUUGACGGUACCUAAUCAGAAAGCCACGGCUAACUACGUG
rnacentral:rRNA from 1 species